rnacentral:lncRNA from 1 species
UUUGCCUCAUUUCGAUCGUUGAUUGACUAAGAGAUCUUAUCUCUGCUCUUAAAUUUUCGAUCUAAUUUUCAUGGACCAAGAGAUCUUAUCUCCACACUUGACUUUUAGCUCAGUUUUUUGCCGAUUGGAAGAUCUUAUCUUUGUGCUUGAAUUUUCGAUCUAGUUUUCAUCGGUCAGAAGAUCUUAUCUCCAUAUUUGACUUUUGACUCGGUAUUCAACCAACCAGAAGAUCUUAUCGCCGUGGUUUACUUUAAAAUUUUUUGGACUGAUAUCGCUAGCAUCUGGAAUAAAUGCAUCAUGCCUCGAGGGCAUAAAAAUUAAUUAUUUGGUUGAAAAUGAAGGGACUUGACUUUUUAAAAAGUAAUCCAUCGUAUCUUCCCUCAUUAUUGCUUGAAC